UACGGGGGGGGCAAGCGUUGUUCGGAAUUACUGGGCGUAAAGGGUUCGUAGGUGGCCAACUAAGUCAGACGUGAAAUCCCUCAGCUCAACUGGGGAACUGCGUCUGAUACUGGUUGGCUUGAGUGCAGGAGAGGAACGCGGAAUUCCAGGUGUAGCGGUGAAAUGCGUAGAUAUCUGGAGGAAUACCGGUGGCGAAGGCGGCAUCCUGGACCGGCAUUGACGCUGAGGAGCGAAAGCCAGGGGAGCAAACGGG
rnacentral:rRNA from 1 species